rnacentral:rRNA from 17 species
UGAAGAGUUUGAUCAUGGCUCAGAUUGAACGCUGGCGGCAGGCCUAACACAUGCAAGUCGAACGGUAGCAGGAUGUGCUUGCACAUCGCUGACGAGUGGCGGACGGGUGAGUAAUGCUUGGGAACUUGCCUUUGCGAGGGGGAUAACAGUUGGAAACGACUGCUAAUACCGCAUAAGCCCACGACCCGGCAUCGGGAAGAGGGAAAAGGAGCAAUCCGCUUUGAGAUGGCCUCGCGUCCGAUUAGCUAGUUGGUGAGGUAACGGCCCACCAAGGCGACGAUCGGUAGCCGGACUGAGAGGUUGAACGGCCACAUUGGGACUGAGACACGGCCCAGACUCCUACGGGAGGCAGCAGUGGGGAAUAUUGCACAAUGGGGGAAACCCUGAUGCAGCGACGCCGCGUGAGCGAAGAAGUAUUUCGGUAUGUAAAGCUCUAUCAGCAGGGAAGAAAAUGACGGUACCUGACUAAGAAGCCCCGGCUAACUACGUGCCAGCAGCCGCGGUAAUACGUAGGGGGCAAGCGUUAUCCGGAUUUACUGGGUGUAAAGGGAGCGUAGACGGCAUCACAAGUCAGAAGUGAAAAUCCGGGGCUCAACCCCGGAACUGCUUUUGAAACUGUGGAGCUGGAGUGCAGGAGAGGUAAGCGGAAUUCCUAGUGUAGCGGUGAAAUGCGUAGAGAUGGGGAGGAACACCAGUGGCGAAGGCGGCCUGCUGCGCUU